GGGCCCGCACAAGCGGUGGAGUAUGUGGUUUAAUUCGAUGCAACGCGAAGAACCUUACCAGGGUUUGACAUCCUGCGAAUCUCUUGGAAACGAGAGAGUGCCUUCGGGAGCGCAGUGACAGGUGGUGCAUGGCUGUCGUCAGCUCGUGUCGUGAGAUGUUGGGUUAAGUCCCGCAACGAGCGCAACCCACGUCUUUAGUUGCCAGCAUUGAGUUGGGCACUCUAGAGAGACCGCCGGUGAUAAACCGGAGGAAGGUGUGGAUGACGUCAAGUCAUCAUGCCCCUUACAUCCUGGGCUACACACGUACUACAAUGCUACGGACAAAGGGCAGCAAACUCGCGAGAGCUAGCAAAUCCCAUAAACCGUGGCUCAGUUCAGAUCGUAGGCUGCAACUCGCCUACGUGAAGGAGGAAUCGCUAGUAA
rnacentral:rRNA from 1 species